rnacentral:rRNA from 2 species
UCCUACCGGGAGGCAGCAGGUGGGGAAUAUUGCACAAUGGGCGCAAGCCUGAUGCAGCCAUGCCGCGUGUAUGAAGAAGGCCUUCGGGUUGUAAAGUACUUUCAGCGGGGAGGAAGGGAGUAAAGCAAUACCUACUCAUGACGUACCGCAGAGAGCCCCACUGCCCC